rnacentral:rRNA from 1 species
CUUAAAGGAAUUGGCGGGGGAGCACUGCAACGGGAGGAGCGUGCGGUUUAAUUGGAUUCAACGCCGGAAAACUCACCAGGGCCGACUGUCAGAUGAAGACCAGCGUGAUGAGCUUGUCGGAUUGUCAGAGAGGUGGUGCAUGGCCGUCGUCAGUUCGUACCGUAAGGCGUUCUGUUAAGUCAGAUAACGAACGAGACCCUCAUCCUUAUUUGCCACCCGUAUAGCAAUAUGCGGCGCACUAUAGGGAGACCGCUGGUGUGAAACCAGAGGAAGGCGAGGGCAACGGUAGGUCAGUAUGCCCCGAAUGUCCUGGGCUACACGCGCGCUACAAAGGAUCGGACAAUGGGAAGCCACGCCGAGAGGCGGAGCCACCCCGAAACCGGUUCAUAGUUCGGAUCGAGGGCUGUAAGUAAUCGCGUCUCAAAAUGGCGCGGUGAAUAUGCCCCUGCUCCUUGCACACACCGCCCGUCAAACCAUCUUAGUUGGGGGUGGGUGAGGCUGCGUUGUAUUGGCGCAUUCGAGCCUGUCUUCGACAAGGAGGGUUAAGUCGUAACAAGGUAUCU